rnacentral:rRNA from 1 species
GCGUGAGUGAUGAAGGUCUUCGGAUCGUAAAACUCUGUUAUUAGGGAAGAACAAAUGUGUAAGUAACUAUGCACGUCUUGACGGUACCUAAUCAGAAAGCCACGGCUAACUACGUGCCAGCAGCCGCGGUAAUACGUAGGUGACAAGCGUUAUCCGGAAUUAUUGGGCGUAAAGCGCGCGUAGGCGGUUUUUUAAGUCUGAUGUGAAAGCCCACGGCUCAACCGUGGAGGGUCAUUGGAAACUGGAAAACUUGAGUGCAGAAGAGGAAAGUGGAAUUCCAUGUGUAGCGGUGAAAUGCGCAGAGAUAUGGAGGAACACCAGUGGCGAAGGCGACUUUCUGGUCUGUAACUGACGCUGAUGUGCGAAAGCGUGGGGAUCAAACAGGAUUAGAUACCCUGGUAGUCCACGCCGUAAACGAUGAGUGCUAAGUGUUAGGGGGGUUUCCGCCCCUUAGUGCUGCAGCUAACGCAUUAAGCACUCCG